AGGGCAAGUCUGGUGCCAGCAGCCGCGGUAAUUCCAGCUCCAAUAGCGUAUAUUAAAGUUGUUGCAGUUAAAAAGCUCGUAGUUGAAUUUCGGGGUUAGUAGGUUGGUCAUGCCUCAGGUAUGUACUGAUCUCACUGAUUCCUCCUUCCUGAUGAACCGUAAUGCCAUUAAUUUGGUGUUGCGGGGAAACUGGACUGUUACUUUGAAAAAAUUAGAGUGUUUAAAGCAGGCUAACGCUUGAAUACAUUAGCAUGGAAUAAUGAAAUAGGACGUUCGAUCCUAUUUUGUUGGUUUCUAGGAUUGACGUAAUGAUUAAUAGGGAUAGUUGGGGGCAUUAGUAUUCAAUUGUCAGAGGUGAAAUUCUUGGAUUUAUUGAAGACUAACUACUGCGAAAGCAUUUGCCAAGGACGUUUUCAUUAAUCAAGAACGAAAGUUAGGGGAUCGAAGACGAUCAGAUACCGUCGUAGUCUUAACCAUAAACUAUGCCGACUAGGGAUCGGAUGAUGUUAAUUUUUUAAUGACUCAUUCGGCGCCUUACGGGAA
rnacentral:rRNA from 1 species